AAUUUUUCAGAUGCUUGCAUGCAUCUUAUUUGAUGUUUUGAGAGGCCUGCGUGCCUCCUAAAAGAAGAUAUAAUUUAUUAUUAUUUUUAUUUUAUAUCUGGUUGUAUUUCUGUGAUGUGAUGUACGUCAACGAUCAAGUUGAAGACAAGGCAUGAGAUGAACAGGGGUCUAAGCGGUUGAUGGCGAUUGGAUCAAGAGUUGGUCAAGGAUCUAAUCAAGGAGGCUUGGAACCAAUUCAAGAGUUGAAGACCAAUUGAUCGAUUGAUGUGCAUGUGCUUGUAAUACGACCUAAUUAGAAUCCAUGAUCAUCACCUAUUUAAAGUUUAGCUUUAUUUUGAUGCUGCGAUUAUAACUGCCUGUGACGUGCCAUUUGCAUGUGAUGUGAAUGAAAGCCGGGUAGAUAGGUUUACAUGUGAUGUGACAAACCCAAUUGAGACCUAAAUUAAAACCUCCUCAAUCAAGUCGAGAGUGAACCAACAUGAGCAAGUCAUAUUAGAUUAAUUGAUCUAAUUGGUGUCUAGGAAAGCAUGAAAGAUGGUUACUUAAUUAGGACCUUACUCUCUCAGUAAGGGGAGCCUCCCACCUGCUUACCUGGCCAAUUAUUCGAUUACCUCUUAUGAAAAGCUCAAGGUUGCAAACACUAAGACCUGAUUAACCAAUAUUAAGUCAAUAGGUCUUCCACUGUAGUAGAGCUGCUAAGGCCUUUCUGAUGUUGAUUUGUCUCGGCUGGAUACAGUGGUCAAGUUGCAUCGGGGGGCUAGACCUCUCUAUAGACAUGAGAUGUUGUAGGGUAAAGGUGGGGUUGGGCACCAAUAACUGUUAGGUGAGGACCCAAUGACGACUUUAUUCCUAUUGUUAUACGGUGGGUCUGACUUAACUAAGAAAUGGGACCAAUAACUGUUAGGUGAGAUUUUCAUGACUUAGAGACCAAGUUACACUGCAACAUGCUUGAGAAGCAUUGUACAAGAGUUGUACAUUCAUCAAUCUAUGUGUCACCAAUAACUGUUAGGUGAGGUGGCAUGUAAAUCGGUGGGACCGCAGUACCCACUAGAAACCCUAGUCGUGUGGGAUUUCCGUUUUUCUACUAGGGGAGUGUGAGGAAUUCGAGAAAAUAGUAGGAGUUACAUUUGUUCUAAAAGACCUUAGAACAGAUUAGGAUCAAGUACAAAAGUCUAACUAGAAUCUUUACUCUCUGCAGAUCAUAAUGUCAGCCUCAAACCCUUUGACUCAUAUCCUAUAGAACAACCGUUUGACCAAACCCAAUUAUAAAGACUGGCUCCGCAAAUUUCAAAAUAGUUUUGAAUUAUGAGAAAUUAGGGUAUGUGCUAGACCAUGGAAUCCCCGUGUUACCAAUCUAUCCGAUCACUGAUCAGCGUAAGACGCAUGCUAAGUGGACGAACAAUGACAAUAAAGUUAGGUGCUGCACAAUGGCAUCCAUGUCCAAUGAAUUACAAUGCUAGCAUAAGGACAUGAGACUGCCAGGGACAUAUUAAAUCACCUGCAAGAGUUGUAUGGUGAUCAGAGUCACGCAGCUCGAUUUGAAGUGUCCAAGAGGCUCUUCAAAGCCAAGAUGCACGAUGGGCAGUCUGUCCAUG
rnacentral:lncRNA from 1 species